UUUUUCCAGUGGUUUUUAGGGCGAGUGGACAAGAGAGGGAAAGACAGAAACAUCCUCCCACAUCAGUGGGUUGCCUCCUGAACAAGCCCUGUCGGGGCUCGGGCUGGGGAGGAGCCUGCAACCGAAGAAAUGCACUCCAAGCACUAAGGGAUGAAUGGACAUCAGACCUGUAACUUACUCUCAAAUAGAGAGACGGAAAAGUCACACCAAAGUGGUAAAAUAUACACAAUGGAGAGUCUGGGUAUAUGGGAGUUCUCUGUACUAUUCUGGCAAUAUAUUAUAACCUUUAAAUUAUUUCAAAAUAAAAAUAAAGCUUUGUAAUCCA